UGGGGAAUUUUGGACAAUGGGCGAAAGCCUGAUCCAGCAAUGCCGCGUGUGUGAAGAAGGCCUUCGGGUUGUAAAGCACUUUUGUCCGGAAAGAAAUCCUUGGCUCUAAUACAGUCGGGGGAUGACGGUACCGGAAGAAUAAGCACCGGCUAACUACGUGCCAGCAGCCGCGGUAAUACGUAGGGUGCAAGCGUUAAUCGGAAUUACUGGGCGUAAAGCGUGCGCAGGCGGUUUGCUAAGACCGAUGUGAAAAUCCCCGGGCUCAACCUGGGAACUGCAUUGGUGACUGGCAGGCUAGAGUAUGGCAGAGGGGGGUAGAAUUCCACGUGUAGCAGUGAAAAUGCGUAGAGAUGUGGAGGAAUACCGAUGGCGAAGGCAGCCCCCUGGGCCAAUACUGACGCUCAUGCACGAAAAGCGUGGGGAGCAAAACAGGAUUAGAUACCCUGGUAGUCCACGCCCUAAAACGAUGUCAACUAGUUGUUGGGGAUUCAUUUCCUUAGUAACGUAGCUAACGCGUGAAGUUGACCGCCUGGGGAGUACGGUCGCAAGAUUAAAAACUCAAAUGAAUUGACGGGGUCAUAGCUGUUUCC
rnacentral:rRNA from 1 species